rnacentral:ncRNA from 1 species
GAGUUCAAUCCUGGCUCGGGAUGAACACUGGUGGCAUGCUUAACACAUGCAAGUCAGAUAGGAAACAUGGGAAAUGGUGUUUCCAGUGGCGGAUAGAUGAGUAAUGCGUAAGAACCUGCCCUUAGGAGGGGAACAAUAGCUGGAAACGGUUGCUAAUACCUUGUAGGUUGAGGAGCAAAUAGCUGGUCCGAGAUGAUGAUCAGCCACACUGGGACUAAUACAUGGCCCAGACACCUACGGGAGGCAGCAGUGGGGAAUUUACCACAAUGGAUGAAAGCCUGACGGAGCAAUGCCGCGUGGAGGUAGAAAGCCCAUGGGUCAUGAACUUCUUUUCCUGGAUAAGAAGCAAUGACGGUAUAUGAGGAAUAAGCAUCAGCUAAUGAGAGUUCUCC